UCAGUCRCGUAUGCAGAUCUUCCUGGGCUUUAAUGGACUUGGACGUACAGAACAGUAGGAUUUGGCCCCAUUCUCACGAUUGGGAGUGGCUUGCUUGGACCUUGGCUGCAUCAUCCAGAGAUGGAAAUCUCCAGUGUGAAACAGCUGAUGUCUUGAAGUGUCUGGUGAAUGAAACACGAAGGCUUCUGACGCAGUUACGGUGUUACACCAGUUGUUUCRUCUGUCUACUUCCAGCUCUGCCUACGUGA
rnacentral:lncRNA from 1 species